GCUUUCAUUUUAAAAUGGAAUAAGUCGUAACAAAGUAGGUUUACUGGAAAGUGAACCUAGAAAGAACAAGUUAUAGCUUAUAAAGCGUUUUAUUUACAUUAAAAAGAUAGUUGUUUAAUUCAAUUUAAUUUGAAAUGAAAAGGUUAUUUUUUAAAUAAUUUAUUAAUUUUAAUAUUAAAAUAAAAAAAUUUAAUUUUAUUAUAGUUUAGAAAAAAUUUAAUUAAUUAUAGUUUAUUAGUAUUGUGAAAGAAAUUUUUUAUUUUAUUAAUAGAAAAAUUAAAUUUUU
rnacentral:rRNA from 1 species